GAUGAACGCUGGCGGCGUGCCUAAUACAUGCAAGUCGAGCGAACAGACGAGGAGCUUGCUCCUCUGACGUUAGCGGCGGACGGGUGAGUAACACGUGGAUAACCUACCUAUAAGACUGGGAUAACUUCGGGAAACCGGAGCUAAUACCGGAUAAUAUAUUGAACCGCAUGGUUCAAUAGUGAAAGACGGUUUUGCUGUCACUUAUAGAUGGAUCCGCGCCGCAUUAGCUAGUUGGUAAGGUAACGGCUUACCAAGGCAACGAUGCGUAGCCGACCUGAGAGGGUGAACGGCCACGCUGGAACUGAGACACGGUCCAGACUCCUACGGGAGGCAGCAGUAGGAAAUCUUCCGCAAUGGGCGAAAGCCUGACGGAGCAACGCCGCGUGAGUGAUGAAGGUCUUCGGAUCGUAAAACUCUGUUAUUAGGGAAGAACAAAUGUGUAAGUAACUAUGCACGUCGUGACGGUACCUAAUCAGAGAGCCACGGCUAACCACG
rnacentral:rRNA from 1 species